UUUUUUUUUUUUUUUUUUUAACAACUUAUCUUAAGAUCACCUGUUCCCUGUUUUGGUAAUUACAUGUCCAGAAGACAAAGUGACCAGGGUAAAGUGCUUUCAUUCCCAGGGGACAUUGGAAACACUGAAAAAUUCAAAUUUCUUUGUGGUAAAUUUUGACACUGAAAAGCUGAAUAGAAUAUCAAGGAAACUUGUUUUGUGUUUAUUUUUUUAAGAUUUUAUUUAUCUAUUCAUGAGAGACACGGAGAGAGAGGCAGAGACACAGGCAGAGGGAGAAGCAGGCUCCAUGCAGGGAGCCUAAUGUGGGACUCCAUCCCGGGACCCCAGGAUCACGACCUGAGCUGAAGGCAGAUGCUUAACCACUGAGCCAUCCAGGUGGCUGUUUUGUGUUUAGAUCCCAUGUGGAGAAUAACUGAGGGAAAGAACAUCUAGAAAACACAUGGAGAAUUGCUCUCAGCCAGUCUCUUCUCCUCAGUACAAUGGAAGAUGCUAGGGUGACCACAGAGUAGCAGGAACUUUGACCAGGGUGCACUAGGUCUUGCCUAGCAAGCGCUGUUGGAAUUUCCUCCUUUGUAUUCAAGAUGAAGUCCUCAGCAAAGUCAGUCUUCUUGACAAGGUCAGGGCGUUCAACAGUAUCUAAGACAGCCAACUUGGCUGAAAAAGAUUUAUGUUUAAAAGGACUUCUAAAGAGCACUGGACCAGGAGUCAGGGACCUAGGUUCUAAUUCUAAGCACUGCAACUAAUCAGAAGUGAAGUUUUCACGAGGAGGAGAGAUAUUGGGAGGAUGAUAGUAGUCUAACUGAAAAAGCCAUAGGGCUUUUUAAAAAUUUUACUACAAAGAAGCCAUGAUUCUAAUGCUGGCACUGUGAAAAGAAAAGCAAUAGAUGUUUGGGGACAGUUAUAUCAGAUAAGACUGUUUUACUAUGAUGUAAAAUAAUGCCACACAACAUUUAUGGAGCACUUUUACCAUGUGCCAGGUGCCAUAUUAAAACCCAUUUAAAUCAUCAUGUCAAGCCACUUAGGCAGGUUCUCUUAAUUUAGAAAAGGUAAGCAACCUGCUCAAGGCCUUAUGACUAGAAAGAGGCAGAACUGGGAAAUGAACGGCUUUGUAUGUAUAAAGUGUAGGGUAUGUGUGCAGGUGAGCGCUCCUGCAUGCAUGCAUGUGCAUGUGCAUCCAUGACUCUAAAGUCUGUGUUGGUAGCUUCUAUCGCUACCUUCCCAUUUUGCUAACGGUUUUAAGUUGUUAUUGUUUAUAAUGAAAUUAUUUUAAAAUAGGUAACACAUGUAUAUGGUACUUGACACAAAAGGUAAGAAAAAAAGAGUGAAGAGUAAGUAUAAUAUAAAUAGUCCCCUUCGCACUCCUGUCUCCCAGACAGCCAAAAACCCAUUCAGGACACAAACACUGUUAACAGUUGCUUUUCAAAUUUAAAGAAAAUUAGUUUUACAAAACUGUGGCUUGGCACUGCAUCAUUUCAUAGUCCAUGUAAACCUGGGCCAUGUUAUUAUGGAUUUUUACUUGAAUUUAAACAUUUUUUUGUGCAAAACAUUCUUCAAAAUUGAUCCCGUAGAAAACAAGAAAACAGCUCAUAGUGCCUUGCGAAUGCUAAUGCUUUUCCAACAUUAAUUGUUCAAUUUGGCUAAUCAAGCUUAGUGAUAUGGUAUAUUCUAAUUCUUUUACAUUUUCUAUUUCAAUGACGUAACUUCUUUUUACAAUAAGAUGGAACAUCUGUCUGAUGAAAAAUAGGCCAUUAUUAUUCAUCUUAAGCCAUGAAGCAUCGUUCAACGGCUCUGAACUAAUGGUCAUUACAUCAAAUAGGUUUUACUUUAAUCAUUAUUUCUAAUACAUGUGAAAUUAAUACACAGUGUUUGUCAUUACUGAGCACUAGAAUAUAAUUCUAGAAGAAGCAAUUAAUGUCUAUCAGAAGUUUUUUGAAAUAUGAUUAUCAAAUACUCGACUAAUGAAUCAUUUGCAUAUCUGAAAUUAUAACCUAAACAUCAAGCAUUCUUGUGAUAGGACGCAUUAGGUUUAAUAAUGGAAAAAAAAGAACAAGAGAGAUUUCAAAUAUUAAGUUAUAUACUUCGUCCACUUCCCUGGCAGCUCGGGAUUUUUUCUGAGGAGAAUUCAUUUUGAAAAGAACAGUUAAACAGCUUCAGGGAAAGGCCCUUUGGGGGCUUUUCCAGGAAUUGGAAUUCUCAUUUCUCUUAAUUUUUUUUAUUUACAUAAAAAAAGGAAAGUAGUUUAGAAGACCUGCAUCUCUCAAUUAAAAAAAAAAUCAUGGUUAAUUGUCAAAUUCAAUCUCUAUAUAGAGAAAUGCCAUCCGUUUCCAAAUGUUGCUUGUAAACUCUCUCGGCAAAGGGGCAAAGAAUAAUGCGCUGUAUUUCCCCUGCAGUGUUAUAUGGC
rnacentral:lncRNA from 1 species